ACGUUCUUGCUUCGGCAGCGUGCAUAUUAAAAUUGAACCAUACAGAGAAGAUCGGCAUGCGCCCUGUGCAAGGGUGAUUUGCAAAUUUGUGAAACAUUCCAUAUUUUU
rnacentral:snRNA from 1 species